rnacentral:rRNA from 1 species
ACGCUGGCGGCGUGCCUAAUACAUGCAAGUCGAGCGGACAGAUGGGAGCUUGCUCCCUGAUGUUAGCGGCGGACGGGUGAGUAACACGUGGGUAACCUGCCUGUAAGACUGGGAUAACUCCGGGAAACCGGGGCUAAUACCGGAUGGUUGUUUGAACCGCAUGGUUCAAACAUAAAAGGUGGCUUCGGCUACCACUUACAGAUGGACCCGCGGCGCAUUAGCUAGUUGGUGAGGUAACGGCUCACCAAGGCAACGAUGCGUAGCCGACCUGAGAGGGUGAUCGGCCACACUGGGACUGAGACACGGCCCAGACUCCUACGGGAGGCAGCAGUAGGGAAUCUUCCGCAAUGGACGAAAGUCUGACGGAGCAACGCCGCGUGAGUGAUGAAGGUUUUCGGAUCGUAAAGCUCUGUUGUUAGGGAAGAACAAGUACCGUUCGAAUAGGGCGGUACCUUGACGGUACCUAACCAGAAAGCCACGGCUAACUACGUGCCAGCAGCCGCGGUAAUACGUAGGUGGCAAGCGUUGUCCGGAAUUAUUGGGCGUAAAGGGCUCGCAGGCGGUUUCUUAAGUCUGAUGUGAAAGCCCCCGGCUCAACCGGGGAGGGUCAUUGGAAACUGGGGAACUU